rnacentral:tRNA from 1 species
CCCUUCGUAGUGUAGUGGUCAGCACGCUGGGUGCGUAUUCCGGAGGUCCGUAGUUCGAUUCCCGGUGAGGGCA